UCUUCUCCAGAGCUCUCAUCCUGCCUCAGAACCUCUGUGGGCUCCUGGUGGGGCUCUGCAUGCCAGCUCCUCGUUUCAGCAGCAUAAAGAGCCUCCGCCUUUUGUCCCGUCUCUCUUCCAAGUCUUUACCAGUGAGUGGAGGAGGCAAUGAUGGUCUUAUCCAUUCCAUUGGCUAUAAGGGCUAUGGUGGCUGAAAAGUGCAGAUCAUGUAUUCUACCUCAUAAGCCCUUAAGACCCUCCCAAACAAGGAGCUAGCUCUGGCAAUAUGUGCAUCAACCUCAUCAUCCGUGUGGACAUCCCUGAAAAGUAUUCUGCCAAGGCCUCAAUGAAGCAUCCUUGUGUCUCCUUCAUCUCUAAAGGGAUCCUAACCUUUUACCAAACCACUGUACUCACCACCAUUAAUCCCAGCAGAUGAGGAUUUCAUGGGCACUGGAUCUUUGCAUGUAAUUGGACACAGAACAUUUUGACAAUAUGGGACUCUAGGGAGAGAUGGGCAGGGUGGGGUGGAUGCUAAUUGGAAGAUAAAUGGCAUAAAUGAUCACUGGCCAUUUUGACUCCUGUGAGGUGUGUCAGAUCUUUGCCUUUCCUCUCUUCCUCCUCUAACAGCGCAGGAAGCAGGGGAGGGCUAGUAGUGAACAUCCUCUCACAUCCUGGAGGGACAGGAGAGCCAGUGUCUAGAAAUCAGAGCUGGCUCAUCUGUGUGCUGGGCAAGGAACAGGACCAGAAGUGACAGCCCAGGAGCAGGCUAGAGGAUUACACACUACAUACUGAUGUGCCCUUGAAGACCCUACUUCCCAGUUGCCCUAUUUACUCAGUUCCCAUCACUUAACUCACUAUUUUUGGGCAUCUCAAAAGGGAGGCCCCAUUGAUAUCUCAAAAUCACCACAUUCAAAAAAGAAUGCAUCUUUGCUCCUCCCCAAUUCUCCAAAUUUCUCUAUUACUAUUGGGGGUCCCAGUGUCCUGCCAGUUACCCAGGCCUGCAGCCUUCAUGUCCUCUCCAACUCCUCACUCAAAUGCACCCCUGGUCCAAUGUGUUGCCAAGUCCUGUUGAUUUUACCUUCACAUCUCUUGUGUACUUCCCUUUCUCUCCAUGCCCAGCUGCCCCUCUGCUGAAGGCCCUUAUCACCUCACACCUGGGCUGCUGCAGUAGUCUUUUGGGUGCUUUGUCAGGUAGUUACCCCCUCCAAUCCAUCCUCCACUCAGCUCCCAAAGGGAUUUUCCUAAAGCCCAGGUCUGGACAUGUCACCCCUCCACUCAGUAUAGUCCAGUGGCUCCCUAGCACUUCCAUAAGGAAAUAGAAAAAUUCUCCAUUUGGCUUUAAAGUUCUUCACAACCUGACCUCUUCCUACCUUUAAAUCUCCCUGCCCUCCAUAUACCCAUCUCCCAACUAUGGAUGUCCUCCAUAGCUGGAAAGUUCUCCUUCCUCAUCUCCACCUCCUGGCUUCCUUCAACUCUGCUCAAAUCUCACCUUCUUCCC